UGGAAGAAACAUGGAUCAUGAAGAAAAUUUUUAAUUACGUUAGUAAGCCGAAAAAAACUGUAGGAUGCAUAGAAGCAGUAAAGAAAGAUGCCAACAAAAUAGGUGUUACAGAAGAAAUAAUACAUGACAGGAAGCACUUCUGGCUACUGAUAGAAAACACAAACUAUGAAGAAGAUUAGGCAAAAUGCCAACCCAAGAGAGAGUGGACAGAUGAGCAGAGACGGGCAGUUGGGGAGAAAACGAAGUAGUACUGGGAAGAACGGAAAAAAAGAAACACCACAAGUCUUAUUUGUAUGUGGUCCAUAGCUGGCCAAAUUCAUAAAUUUAAAAAGAAAGAUUGUCCAGCUAUCAUCAGCAAAUCACAAACUCCGGUAAGAAGGGAGAAGGAAGAUAAUAUUAAGGAAAUACAGCACUGUUACAGGGUUAGUUUUGGAAAAGAAAUUUCAGAUGGACAGAUUACGAAAAAACUGCACAAUAUGAAGUCACUCAUCAAGUCUAAGACAGACAUAAAUAAGACGGGCAACAUUAAGAUCUACCUAAAAAUUUUUUGCAACCCAACUAUCCACAGAACUCCUGGAGCUUGUGCUGGUUUCACCUCUGUUAUCAUCCCUUCCUCAGGGAGUAGUUCUGAGGUAAUUGAUACCGAUUACACAUUCUUCGAACCACAAUCAAUUUUGCAGCAACUGCAAAUUGUUGCAGCAGGUGAUACAGAUCUGCUGGGCCCAAAAGUCAAUAAACCUGCUCAAUCACCUGUUUUGGGAGGCGAGAGUGUGUUGAAACAAUGGAGAUUGAGCAUAGAAAACUGAUGAGAUAAUGAAUUUGUCCAGUUCAGAGCUGCAAAGGCUGGUGUUAUCAUACCAAUUAGAUAUCAUGAAGAGAAAGCAGCAGAAAUUGAUGUGCCAAGAACAAGAUAAACAAUAGAAUGCUUUGUGUAAUGUCAUAGUACAGCACUGUUUUUUUAUUAAUAAAAACAUAUUUUUAAGUGAA